rnacentral:misc_RNA from 1 species
CUAAUAGAAUUGAAUGGCGAAAAAUGAUAUAUAUAGCCGACCCCAACUAGUUUGAGAUUAAACCUUAGUUGUUGCUGUUGCAAAUGAACAUAAUUGUCAGCAUGCUUUGUCAUUCUCCCCUUGUUAGCUUAUAUACAUUUCUCCCCCUUUGGUUAAGCAAAAGGUUUUCCUCAAUCUUCAGCUUAUUUGCUUUACCUCAUUAGCUACGCACUCUCUCCCUCCCUCCCUUUCCAUUCUUUCAAGUUUUGUUUCUUUUCAGUUAAAUUAACUAUUUAAGAACAGUAAAGCACAUGCAAAAUUAUCUAUCGGUUCAGUCAACAUGACUACAAACUACAUGGAUCUUGUUUCACUUCUAUUUUCCAAAUAAAAGUAAAAUGCUAAAAGCUGCAAUAAUUAAACUCUUACAAUUUCGGAAAGGCCUGGAGGCACACAGUGGGUUGUAUUUCAGAUGGAGUCAAGU